AACCUUAUGGACCUGCGGGCGUAUACCUGCGGAGGGAUCAUUACCAAUUCAACGGUGUGGUCGCGGCCUCCGGGGGCUCCCCCCGGGCGGUAGAGGUAACACUCUUACGCGCCACAUGUCUGAAUCCUUUUUUUACGAGCACCUUUCGUUCUCCUUCGGUGGGGCAACCUGCCGUUGGAACUUAUUAAAACCUUUUUUUGCAUCUAGCAUUACCUGUUCAGAUACAAACAAUCGUUACAA
rnacentral:misc_RNA from 1 species